UGAGCUACUACGAAAUACCAUGUGCAA
rnacentral:piRNA from 1 species